rnacentral:rRNA from 1 species
UACAGAGGGUGCAAGCGUUAAUCGGAAUUACUGGGCGUAAAGCGUGCGUAGACGGUUAUGUAAGUCGGGUGUGAAAGCCCCGGGCUCAACCUGGGAAUGCCAUUCGAGACUGCAUAGCUAGGGUGCGGAAGAGGGAAGCGGAAUUUCCGGUGUAGCGGUGAAAUGCGUAGAUAUCGGAAGGAACACCAGUGGCGAAAGCGGCUUCCUGGUCCAGCACCGACGUUCAGGCACGAAAGCGUGGGGAGCAAGCAGG